rnacentral:rRNA from 1 species
ACUCCUACGGGAGGCAGCAGUGGGGAAUCUUAGACAAUGGGCGCAAGCCUGAUCUAGCCAUGCCGCGUGAGUGAUGAAGGCCUUAGGGUCGUAAAGCUCUUUCGCCAGGGAUGAUAAUGACAGUACCUGGUAAAGAAACCCCGGCUAACUCCGUGCCAGCAGCCGCGGUAAUACGGAGGGGGUUAGGCGUUGUUCGGAAUUACUGGGGCGUAAAGCGCGCGUAGGCGGAUUAGUCAGUUAGAGGUGAAAUCCCGGGGCUCAACCCCGGAACUGCCUUUAAUACUGCUAGUCUUGAGUUCGAGAGAGGUGAGUGGAAUUCCGAGUGUAGAGGUGAAAUUCGUAGAUAUUCGGAGGAACACCAGUGGCGAAGGCGGCUCACUGGCUCGAUACUGACGCUGAGGUGCGAAAGUGU